GGCUUGGAGUGUACACAUUGUCUACUCUUAGUGGAUCAUGUUUUCGUGUGAUUCUGAAGGUUACCCCCGAUCUUCGGCUUUCGCCCUUCAUGGGUCUUGCACCUUCGAUCGGUCUUCCAGAAGCCUCCCCGUGCCGAGCCAGCAUGUCUCCAAUAGACUCGAAGGUCUCAGGGGGCUUCCUUCUAUAUCGAGUGGAUCAUCGACAACCUUCUGUCUUCGAUCGAGAUUAUACUGAUUCGUGUGAUGGAGCGACUGGCUGCAAAAUUUGAAGACACAGGGGAAAAUGCCAAGCAACCUUUGUCCUGCAAUAUAUGGAAGAAUUUCUAUUCUUUCCUUAGUACUCUUAUGGCAGAGGUGGCUAUAUAAAUGAAUCAUAUUCUCUGUAAUAUUUGAACA